AACGAACGCUGGCGGCAGGCUUAACACAUGCAAGUCGAACGCAUCCUUCGGGGUGAGUGGCAGACGGGUGAGUAACGCGUGGGAACGUGCCCUUCAGUUCGGGAUAACCCAGGGAAACUUGGGCUAAUACCGGAUACGUGCGAGAGCAGAAAGAUUUAUCGCUGAAGGAUCGGCCCGAGUCUGAUUAGCUAGUUGGUGGGGUAAUGGCCCACCAAGGCGACGAUCAGUAGCUGGUCUGAGAGGAUGAUCAGCCACAUUGGGACUGAGACACGGCCCAAACUCCUACGGGAGGCAGCAGUGGGAAUAUUGGACAAUGGGCGCAAGCCUGAUCCAGCCAUGCCGCGUGAGUGAUGAAGGCCUUAGGGUUGUAAAGCUCUUUCGUCCGGGACGAUAAUGACGGUACCGGAAGAAGAAGCCCCGGCUAACUUCGCGCCAGCCGCCGCCGUAAGAC
rnacentral:rRNA from 1 species